rnacentral:lncRNA from 1 species
UUUAUUCUCUCUGUUUGUCUUCUGUGGCAAAAUGUUAGUACAGCCCUCUAUGAUCAAAUCUUCAAGUCGAUUUGCUUUACAGCUCCAUGUCCAAAAUAUCUUAGAACUUUGUUUACUGCAGUUACCGUAGAAACUGGACUACUGUCAUCUAUACUUAAAUAUCUUGGAAUAAGUAUCAAACAUCUUGACAGCAGAGAGUCUAAUAUCAAUCUUAUAAUCGAUGAGUUCUACUCCACAGAAUGAUUCAAGUUUGUUAUAGGUAAGUUCUUGAGCUGCGAGAACAACCAAACAACUAAAACGGUCCUUACAAAUAUGAUCAAAUCUGUUGGAAGAAACUACAUGGAUGUGGUAGCACUUAUACCGUGUAUCAAAUUAAACGGUGAAUUCCUCUAUAGCAAAUAUACUCUAAUUAUGAAAACCCUGUAUCAAAUUGGAUUUAUCGUUGUUUAAAAUGUUUUGUUUUUUAAUAUUUAUAACUGCUUGCAGAGGCAAGAAUACUUCAGCAUUCCCCCAAAUCGUCAAGGAGUAAAAUCAUCAUUACAUCCUAACUUUGCUCAUAUAAAAGAAAUCCACCAUAAAGAGUCAAGAAAGAGCUCAGAAACUACAAUAGAGGCAAUAGUUUGAUCAAGGUCACAAAUGGAAAAGCAUUCUUGGCAAAAUUUCAACCAUCCUCUUCAACGUGAUGGGGAAAAAUUUGGUUUAUCAACUCAAUGAAAACUGAAAACAAGCUCAAAUCUAGAAAGUUGGUAAAAUGUUGAGGGUGUUUAAGCUAUGAACAUUAAUUUUUCUGGGGUAUUUAAAAGUAAAUUAUAUUGCAGCUUAUUUAGUAUUGAUUUUUUAUUAUUUGUCCCAUUAUGAAUAAAAAUUUACUGAUUUUAA